rnacentral:lncRNA from 1 species
GUGUUAAUACAUGUUAGACAAAUGAUAUGUAAAUCAUUCUCCUAAACUCAUGCCAUACAACAAGAAAAAAUAGAAAUGAUAAAGCACGAAGGCUAUGAGGAUGGUCCAUUAAUUCAAUCCAUACUUCAUGAAACUUAGGACAAACUUAUACAUCAAUCCAAAGUACCUUAAAUGAUCCAUGAUCAAUUAGGAGGUAGAUUUGAAAUGAUGAAAGUUUAUCAAGC